CGACCUCAGAUCGGACGAGAUUACCCGCUGAAUUUAAGCAUAUUACUAAGCGGAGGAAAAGAAACUAACAAGGAUUUCCCCAGUAACGGAGAGUGAAGCGGGAAAAGCCCAGCACCGAAUCCCCCAGUGUCACG
rnacentral:rRNA from 1 species